AUUGAACGCUGGCGGCAGGCUUAACACAUGCAAGUCGAACGAGUGGCGGACGGGUGAGUAAUGCUUGGGAAUCUGCCUUAUGGAGGGGGAUAACGACUGGAAACUGUCGCUAAUACCGCGUACCAUAAGAUGAGCCCAAAUGGGAUUAGGUAGUUGGUGGGGUAAUGGCCUACCAAGCCGACGAUCUCUAGCUGGUCUGAGAGGAUGACCAGCAACACUGGGACUGAGACACGGCCCGGACUCCUACGGGAGGCAGCAGUGGGGAAGAUUGCGCAAUGGGGGCAAGCUGAUGCAGCCAUGCCGCGUGAAUGAAGAAGGCCUUCGGGUUGUAAAGUGCUUUCGGUGAGGAGGCGUUAAUCACAGAAGAAGCACCGGCUAACUCCGUGCCAGCAGCCGCGGUAAUUC
rnacentral:rRNA from 1 species